rnacentral:rRNA from 1 species
GACGAACGCUGGCGGCGUGCCUAAUACAUGCAAGUCGAGCGCAGGAAGCCGUCUGAACCCUUCGGGGGGACGACGGUGGAAUGAGCGGCGGACGGGUAAGUAACACGUAAAGAACCUGCCCAUAGGUCUGGGAUAACCACGAGAAAUCGGGGCUAAUACCGGAUGUGUCAUCGGACCGCAUGGUCCGCUGAUGAAAGGCGCUCCGGCGUCGCCCAUGGAUGGCUUUGCGGUGCAUUAGCUAGUUGGUGGGGUAACGGCCCACCAAGGCGACGAUGCAUAGCCGACCUGAGAGGGUGAUCGGCCACACUAGGACUGAGACACGGCCCAGACUCCUACGGGAGGCAGCAGUAGGGAAUCUUCCACAAUGGACGAAAGUCUGAUGGAGCAACGCCGCGUGAACGAUGAAGGCUUUCGGGUCGUAAAGUUCUGUUGUAAGGGAAGAACAAGUGCCGCAGGCAAUGGCGGCACCUUGACGGUACCUUGCGAGAAAGCCACGGCUAACUACGUGCCAGCCGCCGCAGUAAAAC